CCCUACAGCCCGGAAAACUCACAGGAAUCUAUCGAUAACGGCCAUGAAAGCCUUCGACAACACAUUAUCCGGACAACACAUGAUAAAGACGACCCAGAUUGUUAUAUGGAUAAAGUUGGAGGAUAUUGGACGAACGGAUUUUAAGCAUAUGUUUUAUGUUUUACAUUUUAUACUGUACUAGCUGUGCCCGGCCACGCGUUGCUGUGGCGAAGUAUGGCGGUAUGGGAAAUAAAGUAUUGAGGAAUUGGUGGUAGUUAAGGUAAAGGGUUCCCUGGGCUGAGUGGGUUGCUAGGAGACCAAGUGAGCGGAGCUUAGCCUUUUAACUGGCAGCAAUUGGAUAAAAACAAUUAUUCCUCUCCCUCUAAUUAGGACUUUAUUUUUCUUUUCUUUUUGUUGUAUCAACCCAGAGGCAUGGAUGAGGGGUUGUGAUGUCAAUUUUCGAGGUUGUGGGGUGUUUACUUUUGUUGUUUUGUCCGCUGCUGUGAUGCCAUCACUCUUUUAUAUAUAUAGAUUUAAUUGGUUGUAAUAUAUUUUUUAUAUGUUGUUGUUUUUAAUGAUGUAUCGGCAUCGAAUUGUUGCCAAUGGUACGCCGCCCUGAGUCCCUCCGGGUGAGAAAGGCGGGAUAGAAAUAUUUGAAACAAAUAAAUAAAUAAAUCCGGUGCGUUUCCUAAAUGGUAGGCUGCUAGGGAUUGUGGGAGUUGUAGUCCAAAACACCUGGGAGGGAGGGCCCAAGUUGGGCCAGGCCUGGCCUAUUGUGGAGCAGAGGCCUCCCCCAACUCCUCACCUCGGCAGGGGAUUCCGUACUGGCAGAGGCGCCGGUGCCGGAGGUAGGCCUCCUCACAGUCCUCCUCGCCCUCUUCCUCCCCGCUGCUGCUCUCCAUGGCAGGCCUGCACAAGCGGAAGUGCGGGCGGCGGAAGGAGGCGCUGCCGGACCGAGGAGCGCGCGGAGACGCCUUUUCCGGCCGGACCGCAGCGCCCUCUGGCGGCCGGCCCCUUCGCAUUGCAGCCUCCCGGAACCGGAAAUCCGCCGGCCUUGUUUCCAAAGGAGGACGAAGUUGUUGUUUGCCUGGAGUUCAAUAGGUACCCCCUUGGCGGGGAGGUAAAAGGGCUCCCCAUACAGACAUACCGGCAACAAUCGGAGAAAGUCUAUGGACAACAGGCUCCUCGGCAUGGAACAAGAGCACCUCCCCAUGGCCAGAGUUGAGCAUUGCCCCCAGACGCCGGAGAUGGAAAGGGGAAGGCCUUUACCUCUGUCUGUCUGUCUGUUUAUUGUAUGUUGUUGUUCACUGUGUAAAAAGGCGUUAAAUAUUUGCCUUAUAUAUGUAAACAGUGGUGGCUAGGGGAGCCUUUGCACAGUUAAAACUUGUGCGCAAGCUGCGCCUGUACCUUGGGAAACCGGACUUGGUCAUGGUGAUCCACACUCUUGUUACAUCCCGAUUAGACUACUGCAACGCACUCUACGUGGGGCUGCCUUUGAAGAUUGUUCGGAAGCUUCAGCUAGUCCAACGGGAGGCAGCCAGGUUGUUCACUGUAUUCAUCUCCUGUUUUUAACAUUUUAUUUUGUAUGUUGACCUUUUAUGACUGUUUUAUUGAUGCUGAUGUGUUAUUGUUGAGUAAUUUGUUUUAUUGUCUUGCUGUUGUUAUUAUAUGGUUGUGUUUGGGCAUGGCCCCAUGUAAGCCGCCCCGAGUUCCUUUGGGGAGAUGGGGCGGGGUAUAAGAAUAAAGUUACAGUGGAGUCUCACUUAUCCAAGCCUCGCUUAUCCAAGCUUCUGGAUUAUCCAAGCCAUUUUUGUAGUCAAUGUUUUCAAUAUAUCGUGAUAUUUUGGUGCUAAAUUCGUAAAUACAGUAAUUACAACAUAACAUUCCUGCGUAUUGAACUACCUUUUCUGUCAAAUUUGUUGCAUAACAUGAUGUUUUGGUGCUUAAUUUGUAAAAUCAUAACCUAAUUUGAUGUUUAAUAGGCUUUUCCUUAAUCCCACC
rnacentral:lncRNA from 11 species